rnacentral:rRNA from 1 species
GAUGAACGCUGGCGGCGUGCUUAACACAUGCAAGUCGAACGGGAAUUAUUUUAUUGAAACUUCGGUCGAUUUAAUUUACUUCUAGUGGCGGACGGGUGAGUAACGCGUGGGUAACCUGCCUUAUACAGGGGGAUAACAGUCAGAAAUGGCUGCUAAUACCGCAUAAGCGCACAGAGCUGCAUGGCUCAGUGUGAAAAACUCCGGUGGUAUAAGAUGGACCCGCGUUGGAUUAGCUGGUUGGUGGGGUAACGGCCCACCAAGGCGACGAUCCAUAGCCGGCCUGAGAGGGUGAACGGCCACAUUGGGACUGAGACACGGCCCAGACUCCUACGGGAAGCAGCAGUGGGGAAUAUUGCACAAUGGGGGAAACCCUGAUGCAGCGACGCCGCGUGAAGGAAGAAGUAUCUCGGUAUGUAAACUUCUAUCAGCAGGGAAGAUAGUGACGGUACCUGACUAAGAAGCCCCGGCUAACUACGUG